rnacentral:rRNA from 1 species
UAGGGAAUCUUCCGCAAUGGACGAAAGUCUGAUGGAGCAACGCCGCGUGAGCGAUGAAACCUUCGGGUCGUAAACUCUUGUCAGGGAAGAACAUGUACCGGAGUAACUGCCGGUACCUUGACGGUACCUGACCAGAAAGCCCCGGCUAACUACGUG